UGUGACCUCAAAUCAGGUAGGACUACCCGCUGAACUUAAGCAUAUCAAUAAGCGGAGGAAAAGAAACUAACAAGGAUUCCCCUAGUAACUGCGAGUGAAGCGGGAAAAGCUCAAAUUUAAAAUCUGGCGGUCUUUUGGCUGUCCGAGUUGUAAUCUAGAGAAGUGUUAUCC
rnacentral:rRNA from 1 species